rnacentral:rRNA from 1 species
CGACGAUGCGUAGGGGUUCUGAGAGGAAGGUCCCCCACACUGGUACUGAGACACGGACCAGACUCCUACGGGAGGCAGCAGUGAGGAAUAUUGGUCAAUGGGCGGGAGCCUGAACCAGCCAAGCCGCGUGAGGGAUGACGGCCCUAUGGGUUGUAAACCUCUUUUGCCGGGGAGCAAAGUGCCGCACGUGUGCGGUUUGGAGAGUACCCGGAGAAAAAGCAUCGGCUAACUCCGUGCCAGCAGCCGCGGUAAUACGGAGGAUGCGAGCGUUAUCCGGAUUUAUUGGGUUUAAAGGGUGCGUAGGCGGACGCUUAAGUCAGCGGUAAAAUUGCGGGGCUCAACCUCGUCGAGCCGUUGAAACUGGGUGCCUUGAGUGGGCGAGAAGUACGCGGAAUGCGUGGUGUAGCGGUGAAAUGCAUAGAUAUCACGCAGAACUCCGAUUGCGAAGGCAGCGUACCGGCGCCCAACUGACGCUGAAGCACGAAGGCGUGGGUAUCGAACAGGAUUAGAUACCCUGGUAGUCCACGCAGUAAACGAUGAAUGCUAGUUGUCCGGGGCGAUUGAGUUCUGG